UUUUAAUGUAUGUUACAUCAGAACUUUUGACCGGGUAGACCGAUUUCGACAAAUUUUGUUUUAAUCGAAAGGUGGUGUGUGCCAAUUGGUCCCAUUUUAAUUUAUUUGAGAUCUAACAACUACUUUUUGAGUUAUAUCUAAUAAUGCGUUUUUACUUGACGCUUUUUUCGUCGACCUACGUUGUAUUAUACCACAUAACUUUCUACUAGAUGUACCGAUUUUGAUAAUUAUUUUUUUGUUGGAAAGAGGAUAUCCCUAGUUUGGUACCGAAACCAGGAUCUGAUGAAGGGAUCCCAGAGAAAUCGAGGGAAACUCUCGAAAAUCCG
rnacentral:misc_RNA from 1 species